UGUACAGUCUACUCGUGUAAUCGUGUACCGUACUAUAAACGGUUGCGAUUUUUGUUGAAAGUGUUGUGGUUGUUAUUUUUUGUGUCCUAACUUGUAUCUAACUUUAUUUUAAAAUUUCAAUGUUUUUAACAUAUAUUUAGCGUUAUUUAAGAUUUGAGAAGCAGUAUACAGAAAAUCACUGAUAUUCGAGGAGUUUUCACAUGGUCCAACAAUAUGUAUAGUAUAGACACGCGAUCAGUUUAUCUACACAUAUGAAGGUUGUUUCAAAAUUUGGGACGGUCAUCACUUGCAAGUUUUCUGUACGUUCGCGAAAAUGGCACUCACCAUACACAUAUCUGGACCGAAAAUGAUUAUGCAUAAUAAAACAAUAGCAGACAUGUUUGUAAAUCAAUUUAAUAACAAUCAAGGUCUUUUUAGUAUCGACUGUUCUACCGGUAAAGAGUACAGUUAUCCAAAAUUGAAAAAAGACUUUUAGCAAUGGUUACUGCAUUUAAAAAACAUGAUCUUGGACACGAAGACAUUGUAAUGUUAGUUGGGAUUUUGGUCGAACAACUAUAGCUGCAUUGAAUCACAGUUUAAUAAAAAGUGUCUUGGCAGCGCUUGCUAUUGAAUCCAAGCCGAGCGUAUUGUUUUCUAAUACUUUUAGUAUAAAUAUAAUGACAGACAUUUUAAAUACUAUCACGCAUCAACUGAUAUUGAAGAUUUUUACUAUGAUGCGUGAUGGCGUUACUGCUUAUUCGGAUAUCGUCGAUAUUACUGCGGACUAAACUUUGUUGGUCCGUCCGAUAAAUCAAAAAGCCCGAUUGGUCCAUGUGCUAUUAUUAUAGUAUUCGAGUGGUACUACAGGAACUCUGAAAGGAAUAUAUUUAUCGGACGAUGCUAUGAAAUCGGCAUUAAUAUCGUUCAAGCAAUGAGUGUCUGUAUAAUAUAGUUUAUAGGUCGGUAAAUUAAUUUAAAAAAAAAAAUGUUAAAAUUUACUGUGGUUAGGUAAUUUGGUAUAAUUCUGUCGGGAUUGGCAAAUUGGGUCCCAUAUGACCUUAUCUCGGUAAAUUGGGUCCCGGAAAAAAAAGGUAGUAGGUAAGUUGAGUCCCGGAAAAAAAAUAUAUAAAUUAAAAUAUAUGUGGUUUUUAUAAUAUUAUGUUCUAAAUAAAUAAUAUAUGGUAUAAAUGAGUUUUUAAACUCUCUGCAAAUAAGUUUCGAUGGCAACACCGAUAUCUCUUCUACCGCUUUUCUCUUGAGAUUAUUACUUAUUUUUUGCCGGUUGAUGUCUUGUUUGCUAGGUUUAUUGUGAUUGUGAUCAUUAAAAAUCUCAGUAUCAACACCAUUAUAAGUUUUAAAAAAUAACUUACAUGUACUUUUACAGCAGGUCCAUCUCUGUACUUCAUUUUUCAACAUUCUGAGAAACCUAAACUUAUGACCAUAUUUUAUAAUAACAGUUUUGUUUUUUUCGCUAGUCAUUAUUUCCAUUUUCAAGAUUUAUAAAAAAACAAUAACUGUAAAAUUGUGUAACUGUAUAUAGCUGUAAGACACGAUAUAGUCACAAGUUGACGUUCAGCAGGCUACUAAAAAUAUAAUGAAAUAGCCCAGAUAUCGUACGUGUAUCUGUACGUAAUCACCUUCAAAAUCGAUAAUAACUUCUAACUGAUACGAAUAAUACUAACACUUGUAUACGCUCGUAUACUCGUAUAUAUAUCUAUUAGGUUUAAUCAAAGUUACGAGUUUACGACAUUACGGUAUUUAAUUUUUGGAGAAAAGUGGCUACGGCCAGUGUAAUAAAAUCCGCGAUAAGAAUACCUGUAUUUAGACACAUUAACUGAUGUUAAUGGUAGAAUUAAUGGCCAGGCGGUGUACCACUGUAUGCAAUAUGAAGUAUUAUUGUAACAUAAUUAUUCAAAAGUAAAUUACAUAAGUAUGAAAUAUUUAAGUUUUAAGUUUUUAAUAUUUUAGACCUAAUUGCGCCAAUGAUUUAUAGCCGGGACCCAACUUACCUAUUACCUUUUUAUACCCGGGACUCAACUUACCGCUUUCAAAACGAACCCAAAUUAUCGCGGACCCAAUUUACCUAGCUCCUAUGGUGUAUGGUGUUCACAAUUUAACCUAAUUGUUCUGUUGCCCGGAAUAAAAAUUCUGAUUCGCAGCAGUAUUCUAUCAGGUAGGCAAUCUACCUGCGGUAGAUCGCGGACCCCGUGCUGUUUGUACGUAAGUGUAUGAUUUAACUCUAAAGUAAAAUUUAAAAUCUUCACUCACUGCUUGCAAUAAUAAGUAGGUAGUAAUGCUUUACAAGUAAAAUUAGGUAGGCUACCUAUUAUAAACGUCCAACAGAAAGAAUGAAACGAUUUUACGCAAUAACACUAAAUCAAACACAUUAACACGUACUUAUAUAAGUUUUAGAAUUCCAUACAAAAAAUGUACAUCUAUUUUUAGUCCUACAUUUCUAAGCUAAUUAUAGUACAAAGUUGUUUCUCUCAUGAGCGUUAAUCUUAACAAAUACAGUUUAUAUUAACAUUUAACUUGGAAAUCUAGUUAAAUUCUAAUCAAUAUAACUGUUAAAAUAUAUUAAAUAAUAAGCAGGAAAGAUGUAGAAAAAAGGAAGGAUAAAGGAAUGAUAAAAUAAAUAAAUAGUUUAAUAAAUAAGUAUUGAAAGAACGAAAAGCAAAGAAGAAAAAUAAUUAAAAAGAAAGUAUGAGGAGAAAAAAAGAUGUUCCUAUCUAAUUAUCAAAUUUUAAUAGAAGAAAAAAACUAAAAAGUAUCAAACGCUUUGGGAUUUUUAAAAGCAGCUUAUUGUUUUUCUUUCAGGUAUAUGGAAGACUUGACCCAAAAGUACCACAGUGACAAACAAUCAUGGACGAACACUUUACAGGGUUUGGUCAUAGGAAUGCAAUGUAUCGGUGGUGAAUUGCCGUUAUUAUUUUUUUCCGGUUGGUUGAUUAAACGAAUCGGCCACACGUAUUGCAUGGCCUUAUUAGGUCUUUUCGAUUAUGUUCUUAGGUUCUAAAUUUCAUGGCAACGGAAUAUAAUAAUAUACAGCCAACACAAUUAUAUUAUUAUUAUUAUUAUUUUAUUAUUUUAUUUUAUUACUAUUUAUAAUGAAAUAUUUUAUGUUAUAUCCAACGACCAACUUCAUAACAAUAAUUUUCAAAUUGUAUCGAUUUUGACGCCUUUUUUUUACUUUAGCCGCUUAUAAAAAAAUGUUGUAGCG